rnacentral:lncRNA from 10 species
GUUGCAGUGAGCUGAGAUCGCACCACUGCACUCCAGCCUGGGCAGCAGAGUGAGACUCUUGUCUAAAACACACACACACACACACACACACAUACACACACACAAAACAAGAAACCAAUAAGGUGGCAUUUAAGAGUGCUUAAGAUCUGGUGUUCAUUUUAGCUGGCUGCAUUGCAAAAAGAUGUGAAAGCUUUUAUUUUAUUUUAUGAAUACUUAUUGAACAGCUACUCUGGGCAGGCCCUACUACCAGUUUCUGGGAGAACAAGAUGAAUUAGGCAUGGUCCCUAAUUGCAAGGGGUUCACAAUUUAGCAUCCUAUGCAGAUCUCCGUGGGGACAGCCCCAGGGGUUACCCUUGUUUGCUUGUGCUUUUGAGGUAGGCAUUCAAGUGUAGACACUUGCAGCUGUGCGCCCUGCUCUUCCUGGGGGCCCGUCCUUCCCUCAUUCCCCACCACACCGCAGGUGGGGCAGUUUUGGCUGCUCUGCAAUCUCAACCGCAAAGAGUUGCUCCACCCUUUGUCCCGGCAAAACUCUGAAUUGUCCUGUAAUUAUUGCCACACUGCAAUCCGGUGCCAUCUGAUAAGUACAGGUUUCAAAACUGUGCUCACAAUUCCUGCCAAAGCCAUCCUGCCAACAUCAGGCACAGACAUUGGCAAACCUACUCGGCCUGGGCUGAGUUGAGCUAAAGGUGCCAUGAAAAUCUGGAGAUGGAAACUCAGCAACCACCUAGAAUAAGAUCACCUGCAACACACACAUGUACACACAAUCACACACACACGAGUGAGCACACACCCUUUCUCCCUGGGGUUUUGACUCCGUUCCUUAUGUGAUUCUAUGUCAAAUGUGUAGAAAAAAGAAGCUGUCCUGAGCACAGCACAUUGAAAAAUAAACGCCAGCAUUUCAAUAGCUUUGCAGAGAAGAGAUCCACAGAAUAGCGUUGGGUUUCCUCUUGUUCUUGCAUGGAAACAUGAUCAGGUGAGGUUUGUACUAGAGCAUUCUGUAACCCCUGAUCCUGGGGGCUGAUCAGGAAGAGUCAGGUGUGGUGUGUUUAAAAAGUGAAAGCCGGUAAAAAUUCAAAAAUUAGCCAGUGUGAUGGUGGGGGCCUGUAAUACCAGCUACUUGGGGAGCUGAGGGAGAAAAAAAAAAAAAGUGAAAGCCACAGGUAUCCUUUGGCAGAGGUUGCCAGUAGCCUGCCUGUAGUUUGCUUAGGCAUGUUCUGAACAUGCAGAAUGAUGUGCUGGGACUAAGUUGAGUUUGGCAGUCAUUUCAGGAAAGCAAAAAAGAGAAGAAUGUUAAUAACUAAGAAUUUCCAAGAAUGGGCUCUAGUUCCAGCCUUGCAAUGGAGGCUUUACAUGCGCUGGCCCACAGAAUCCUUACAACCACUCUGCGAAGGGCUUACUGUUAUGAUAUUAUUAGUCGCAUUUCACAGAUGGGGAAACAGCUUCAGAGAAUAAAGCAACUUGCCCAAAGGUCACAUAUACAGUAGAUAAUGGAGCUGAACUGGGAACCAGAGCUGUGUGAUCCAGUGAAGGUGGCCACAGGCUGGUAGAGGCUGCCUCACGCCUGCCCACUGCCUCUUGCCACCAUGCUUGCCCCUGCUGCCCCCUGGCAGUGGCAGAUUUGCAGGCUGUGCUGCCCUGAGACAGCCUCAUGGGGCAGAGGGAGAAGCUUGGAGGCUCACUGGCAGACCUAGUCCCAAAUGCAGGGAGGAAGGAAAAGUAGAUUCAUUUCCUCAUUCUUGGCAGCAAAAUCUCCUUCCUUCCCCAUUGUUUCUUGGAUCUUUCUUUUUACUUUCACUUAAAUAAUCCUACACUUCAAUUCCUGGCCCCCUAUCAUCCAUGCAGACAAAGCUCCUCUUUUGUUUUAUUCAUUAUUUUUUCCCCGUUCCCCUUUCGAACUUCCAUUCUCACUUCCGUUAGGUUUACAUGCUAACUUGUUGAUAUACAUGUCCUUAGACAUGUGUUUACCUGAACUAUGUAUAGCAGCAUUUUGCAUACGUGUUUUUAAGUUUCAUAAGUAAUAUGAUGCCAUUAAUUUUAUU